rnacentral:rRNA from 1 species
AUGCCCUUUCCACGUAAGUCAACCAAGAAAAAAGAUGAUGAGGAAUUUGAAUGUUUUGCUGAAAUGCUUAGGCCAGUCUUUUUGUGCACUUGCUUGACUGGUAUUUUAAAGAUGGCCCCUUAUGCUAAAUAUAUGAAAGACAUCGUCACCUAUAAAAGAAAUAUACCGGAAGUUGAAAUCUCCACCAUGCUUGCUAAUUAUUAUUUUAAGGACGGAGUGCCUAAAAAACUUGGAGACCCGGGAAUACCAACUAUACCAUGCUCCAUCAACAGAAACUAUGUCAAAACUACCUUGUGUUAUUUAGGAGCUGGUGUUAGUGUUAUGCCUUUCUCUUUAUAUAAAAGACUUGAUUUGAAUAAACUCACACCCACUGAAAUAUCUUUGCAAAUGGCUGACAAAUCAACUGCCAUACCUAUCGGUAUUUGUGAGGAUGGUUGCAUUAUGUGGUGUUGUUUUGUUAUAAUCUCAUCCUUUUGUGUUGUUCACAGACUGGAAAGUAUGCAUAUUUAUCUUCCAAGGAGACGAGUAACUAGUUUGUGUCACCUUGUAGAGGGGGGGGGGUGCAAUGAAGAUAAGACUGAGGAUUUCCAAGUACAAGUUGUUAGGAAGGAGCCUUGCAAGAGAAGCAGGAGCAGCGCUGAGCCUAUUCAAACAGUUAAGGAUGAAGUGACAUCAACACAAAGAUCUGUGAGCAGUGCGGCAUGGCCUUUACCAAAUGAUUAUGGAUUGGAAUUGGAAUGUGUUGAUGUUCUCGAGCAUCAACUAGAGGUGGCAAGACAACGUGUACAUGAUUCUCAAUGUACAAUCAACAAGUUGAGACUAGACAUGCAGGUAUUAGAUGCAGGAGUAAAAAAUGAAACAAGACACUGA